CUACGGGUCGCUGCAGUGAGGAAUAUUGGACAAUGGGAGGAAUCCUGAUCCAGCCAUGCCGCGUGAAGGAAGACAGUCCUAUGGAUUGUAAACUUCUUUUGUAUGGGAGCAAUAAUCGCUACGUGUAGUGAGAUGAGAGUACCAUACGAAUAAGCAUCGGCUAACUCCGUGCCAGCAGCCGCGGUAAUACGGAGGAUGCGAGCGUUAUCCGGAUUUAUUGGGUUUAAAGGGUGCGUAGGCUGACGCGAAGGCAUCUUGUGAAAUCCCUCGGCUCAACCGGGGAACUGCAGGGUGAACCGCGUGUCUCGAGGCAAGUAGGGGCUGUCGGAACGCUAGGUGGAGUGGUGAAAUGCGUUGAUAUCUAGCGGAACGCCGAAGGAGAAAUCAGGCAGCUGGGCUUGUUCUGACGCUGAUGCACGAAAGCGUGGGGAGCGAACGGAUUAGAUACCCUCGUAGUC
rnacentral:rRNA from 1 species